AUGACGAUUCCUAAUUCGGAGGGUUUCUUUCCGUCGGAUAGCUGCUUGCCUCGCGCUCCCGCGGAAGAGAAAGAUAUCAUAAUGGAACUGAUCAGAUCCUCCGAAGCCAGUAUCAAGGAAGGCGAUCUCUACUACCUUGUCUCGCAUAGAUGGUGGAUGGAAUGGCAAGAAUAUGUGGAUUUAGACCAGUCUGAUGAAAAUUCCAAUGAGGGCAUUUUUUGCAUCCCUCGUAGGCCCGGAGAGAUUGAUAAUUCUAAUCUUUUAUUGAAUGAAUCAGUUGUGGAAGGUAAUGAAUUGGAUCUUAAAAGAUCUUUGCAGGAAGGAGAAGACUACAGUUUGGUGCCGCAAGAUGCUUGGAAGAAGCUUCUAGAAUGGUACCGAGGGGGACCAGAACUACCUAGAAAAGUAAUUUCUGAGGGUUUUAUUACCAAGAAGUUCAAUGUAGAAGUUUAUCCUCUUUGUUUGCAAUUAGUUGAUGGAAGAGACAAGUCCCAGAGAACUUUAAAGAUUAGCAGAAUGGCAUCAGUGCGUGAGCUUUACAACAUGGUUUGCAUGCUUUUUGAACUAGAGAAGGAGAAGGUUUCAAUCUGGGAUUAUUACAACAAAACUAAGCAUCAGUUUUUGAACAACUUUGAUCAAACUCUUGAGGAAGCUCAGUUGCUUAUGGACCAGGAGGUUCUUUUGGAGGUCCAAGAUGAUAAGCUUUGGCCUUCCAAUGUCAGUAUGAGUUCAGCUGGAAAUGAAUUGGCUUUGGUUCCUUUAGAACCUUCAAGGUCUUCUGUUACAAUUGCUGGAGGUCCUAUGUUAUCUAACAGUUAUUCAACUGGAUUUCGCUCCAAUUUUCUAGAAGGGGGCAAUUUUAGUUCUUCACAGAGGGACACAGAAGAUAGGGAUGAUGUUUUGAAUAAUGGAAUAAAGGUUGAUGGUCAAGGACUGACAGGAUUGCAUAACCUGGGCAAUACUUGUUUUAUGAACAGUGCCUUACAGUGUUUAGUGCAUACACCUCCCCUUGUUGAUUAUUUUCUUCAAGAUUACAGUGAGGAGAUAAACAAGGAAAAUCCCUUGGGAAUGCAAGGUGAACUUGCAAUUGUUUUUGGAGAAUUGCUAAGGAAGUUAUGGUCAUCAGGACGGACAUCAGUAGCACCACGUGCAUUUAAAGCAAAGCUUGCUCGGUUUGCUCCUCAGUUUAGUGGAUAUAAUCAACAUGAUUCUCAGGAACUUCUUGCCUUUCUAUUGGAUGGUCUGCAUGAAGAUUUAAACCGUGUAAGAAGCAAGCCUUACAUAGAAGCAAAAGAUGCAGAUGGUCGUCCAGAUGAUGAAUUUGCUGAGGAAUGUUGGCAAAAUCACAAGGCUCGAAAUGACUCCAUUAUCGUUGAUGUUUGCCAAGGCCAAUAUAAGUCAACAUUGGUAUGUCCUGUCUGCAGCAAAGUUUCUGUGACAUUUGAUCCUUUUAUGUACUUGUCGCUGCCACUUCCUUCAACUGCCACCCGGACGAUCACUGUGACUGUGUUUAGUGGUGAUGGCAGCUCUCUUCCCAUGCCUUUCACUGUGACAGUGCCAAAAAAUGGUUGUUGCAAAGAUCUAAUUCAAGCACUGAGUACUGCUUCAUGCCUAAAGCACACUGAGGCCUUGGUACUGGCAGAGGUUUAUGGCAACCGUAUAUACCGCUACCUAGAGAAUUCUUUUGAAUCAUUAUCUAACAUAAAAGAUGAAGAGCAUAUUGUGGCUUACAGACUUCCUAUACACCAUGAGAAAUUAUUGAGACUAGAGAUAUUGCAUAGGAGAGCAGAAGGAUUUUUAUCAGAACCACGAUAUAGUGCCCAUCUGAAGCUUCUUGGAACGCCACUAGUUACAACCUUGUCAGUGGAUUCCAGAACUGGAGCAGAUAUCCAUGCUGCUGUUCUUUCUGUGCUUGCUCCAUUGCUGCGAGCAAAUUCACUUACAUGGUCACAUGGGGACAAGAGUAGCAGAGACAGUGGCUCUGGGCCAAGCCUGGAUUCUAUUGUACUCUCGGAUAAUGGUAUUCAGUGCUCAGAAGAGACUUUGUCAACAUCAGACAUGGAAUUAGAAGAGGUCCAUAACAGUAUUCCUGACAUUCAGCUUGCCUUGGCAGAUGGGAAGGUCAUCAGUAGAAGUACGGUUGAUGUUGAUUAUACUGUUCCUGUAUCUCGUCUAAAGGUGGUGAUGAACUGGUCAGACAGAGAGCAUGAAAUUUAUGACUUCAGUUUCCUUGAGGAUCUUCCUGAAGUGUUCAAGUCUGGUUUCAUGUCAAAGAAAACUCGGCAGGAGGCAAUCACUUUAUAUUCAUGCUUGGAAGCAUUUAUAAAAGAAGAACCUCUAGGGCCUGAUGAUAUGUGGUACUGCCCUAGGUGCAAGGAACACAGGCAGGCAACUAAGAAGCUUGACUUAUGGAGGUUGCCAGAUAUUUUGGUUGUUCACUUGAAACGAUUUUCUUACAGCCGAUUUAUGAAAAACAAACUUGACACAUUUGUGAACUUCCCUGUGCAUAACCUUGAUUUAAGCAAAUAUGUUGGGCACAGGGAAAGUGCUUCAAGUUCUCUUGUUUAUGAACUCUAUGCAAUAAGCAACCACUAUGGUGGCUUAGGUGGGGGUCACUACUCUGCUUUUGCAAAGCUACUUGAAGAAGACAGCUGGUUUCAUUUCGAUGAUAGUCAUGUUUCCCCUGUAAACGAAAAUGAAAUCAAGAAAUCAGCAGCCUAUGUCCUGUUCUAUCAGCGAGUUGGAGUUGAGUCCAAGAUGGAUGUCAGGGAAACAGGGAUCAGCCCAGAUUCCUCAAAUUUUUAAGAGCAAAUCUGAAUUGGCAAGCAAUUUGAUUUUUGUUUCAUGAUUCUUUUAACCUUAAAUAGUGGAAGGAUAGCUGGGUUGCAGCUUUUAACUGAUCAUGCUGUUGGUUGACAUGGCCGUAGAAGUUUGGUGGUGAUCAUUGAUUCAAAAUUGUUUGAUCUGCCACUGAAUACCCACCCACAAGCAUAAUCCAAGACUGGACUCACAGUGCAAUUGAUAGUUCAAGGAAGCUAAGGUCAUUUAUUACAUUGUUUUAGAAAUUAUUGAGAUUUGAUAGAUUAUCCCGGAAGCAGUUGCCACUACAUUUGGCAGAUGAGGAUUGGAUUGUCCUUGAGCUUCUCAAUGAUCCAUUCAAAGCUACCAAUCUGGCCCUGGUGAUAUUCUCUUAUUUUUGUAGAGAGAUGUUUGAAGCUGUAAUGCAAAUGUUUUCUUUUGCAAACUGCACUUUCUGCAGUAAAAUUGUAAUGACAGGUUGAAAAAGUGGUUCAGUGUCUCAUUUUUUCUUCAUUUUCAGUUCAAAAUCAAGGAUCUUAUGGCCUUUGCUUAAUUAUGCAUUGGAAAUAGCUUUUCGUUGCCAA